GAUUAUAAAAGAAGUCGAAAACUCGAGAUCUCUUAUUAUUAUCAUUUCAUUAUUUAACGUUAAUAUAAUUGUUAUUCUUUGCACAUAUCAAAUAACUAAAAUGAAUAUUUUUAACAAGUAUUUUUUAACUAUUACAAUCAAUGUUCUUCCAAUUUUGAUUAUUCCAGCAACUGCAUUCAGUAAAUAUUACGACGACUUCAAAAAUAUUCCAACCAACCCUCACAGACAAGAUGCAGCCGAUUGCAAAUAUAUUCUAAAAGAUGUUUUUGGAUUCGAGGAUAAUUUUAAUGAUGUUAGUGAAGUGAAAUAUAAGG